AGUGAACGCUGGCGGUAGGCCUAACACAUGCAAGUCGAACGGCAGCACAGUAAGAGCUUGCUCUUACGGGUGGCGAGUGGCGGACGGGUGAGGAAUACAUCGGAAUCUACUUUUUCGUGGGGGAUAACGUAGGGAAACUUACGCUAAUACCGCAUACGACCUACGGGUGAAAGCAGGGGAUCUUCGGACCUUGCGCGAUUGAAUGAGCCGAUGUCGGAUUGGCUAGUUGGCGGGGUAAAGGCCCACCAAGGCGACGAUCCGUAGCUGGUCUGAGAGGAUGAUCAGCCACACUGGAACUGAGACACGGUCCAGACUCCUACGGGAGGCAGCAGUGGGGAAUAUUGGACAAUGGGCGCAAGCCUGAUCCAGCCAUACUGCGUGGGUGAAGAAGGCCUUCGGGUUGUAAAGCCCUUUUGUUGGGAAAGAAAAGCAGCAGGUUAAUACCCCGCUGUUCUGACGGUACCCAAAGAAUAAGCACCGGCUAACUUCGUG
rnacentral:rRNA from 1 species